UGAGGAAUAUUGGUCAAUGGGCGAGAGCCUGAACCAGCCAAGUAGCGUGCAGGAUGACGGCCCUAUGGGUUGUAAACUGCUUUUAUAGGGGAAUAAAGUGAGCUACGUGUAGUUUAUUGCAUGUACCCUAUGAAUAAGGACCGGCUAAUUCCGUGCCAGCAGCCGCGGUAAUACGGAAGGUUCGGGCGUUAUCCGGAUUUAUUGGGUUUAAAGGGAGCGUAGGCCGUGGAUUAAGCGUGUUGUGAAAUGUAGAUGCUCAACAUCUGACUUGCAGCGCGAACUGGUUUACUAGAGUGUGCACAACGUAGGCGGAAUUCGUCGUGUAGCGGUGAAAUGCUUAGAUAUGACGAAGAACUCCGAUUGCGAAGGCAGCUUACGGGAGCACAACUGACGCUGAAGCUCGAAGGUGCGGGUAUCAAACAGGAUUAGAUACCCUGGUAGUCCGCACAGUAAAACGAUGGAUGCCCGCUGUUGGUCCAUUAGGGUCAGCGGCCAAGCGAAAGCAUUAAGCAUCCCACCUGGGGAGUACGCCGGCGGUG
rnacentral:rRNA from 1 species